rnacentral:lncRNA from 1 species
UAAAAUAUGCAAGUAGGCUAACAACCACGCCGUCCCCAGGAAAAAACAAUCUAGAUCUCAAUUAUCAAAUUCGUACUAUAAUGUAAGAACCAAUUUCAAAUACACUCACAAAAUAUGUGUACUAGUGUCAAUUUUUUUCCUGCAAUACUACCCAUACCAAUUCUUAGUAUCACGGAAAGAAAAUGAGAGAAGUUUACCGGAAAUGCAUCGGCAAAAAAAU